rnacentral:siRNA from 1 species
UGUGGUUGUUGUAGCAAACUAUA